CUCUGACUUAAAUUGUUGAGCCCUCUCAAAAGCAAGAGUCAUUUCCAUUUUGAAGUUAAGGAAAUGAAGAUGAGGAUCUCUUCUCCCAACAGUGGAAGCUAAUUUACAAUGAAAAGACUAAAUAUCCAUCUGUAACAAUGAUCAAACCCAGUCCCAGUAGGACCAUGAUGCAGGUGACAUUCUCAUCCCCUACUCUACCAGAGCAGCUGGUUCAGUUACUGUCUUGCCUCUGCACCUUCUCAGCCCUGUGAUGGCCAACUGGCCGGCUCGGCACUGAAACUAUUGGGAUUUCCUCUAGAUCUUCAGCCCUAGAUUUUCCUUGAUGACCUCCUGGCCCUCAUUCACAUGUGUGCUCUCCUGCUCCUGGUGGUUCCGCUGAGAUAAAGUAGUAUGCUUUAAUGCAGGGGUCCUGCAUUCAACAGUGUCGUCCCUGAACCAGCAGCAUCAACAUCGCCUGGGAACUUGUUAGAAACGCAAAUUCUCAGGCUCCAGCCUAGAUCCACUGAAUCAGAAACUCUGGGCAUGGGCCCAGCCGGUUGUGUUUUAACAAGCGCUCCAGGCGGUUCCAGUGCACGCUCAAAUUCAAGAACACUGCUGUAAUGUAUUGCCUGGCUCCUGGUAGGUCAGUGGCUCUUCCAAUUUUAGUAAAGUCCUUAUGGAGAAAAAAACAGAACCCUUUACUAAAUAACUGACUUGAGUAGAGGAAAUUUCAAGCACCAUAUGAGACAUUCUGGGAUGGGCAGAAAUUUCAAUGCCCCACAAAUUUUGUCCACCGUUCACUAAAAUAGUAACAAAAAAGGGGGCCUCCUUAUGGCCAAGUGGUUAAAGUUCCACGUGCUUCGCUUAGGCCACCUGGGUUUGUGGGCCAGGUCAGCGGACCUACUCCACUCAUCAGCCAUGCUUUGGAGGCAUCCCACAUACAAAAUAGAGAAAGAUUGGCAAUGAUGUUAGCUUAGGGCUAGUGUUUUUUUGUUUGUUUAUUGACAACAGAUGUUAGCUCAGGAAGAAUCUCCCUCACCAAAAACAAAACAAAAUAGUAACAAAAAGAUCUUUUUGCUAUAUUGUUUUUUUCUCUCUGUUUGUCAUACAGCCUCAAUAGGCCCCAAAGCCCAGGAAAUAUUUUUAAAAUAAAUUGUCAUAGUUUUAAGAGAAACGUUUU
rnacentral:lncRNA from 1 species